rnacentral:rRNA from 1 species
AGACACCGGCCAUUUGGAGUGCCCGCAGCUUAUCCCGCGGAGCGGGAGACAAUUACAGAUGGAUAGUUUGGGUGGGGCGCCACUCCUCUGAAAAGAUAACAGAGGAAUGCAAAGGUUGGCUCAGGCAGUUCAGGAAUCUGCCGGAGAGUACCAAAAGCAAAAGCCAACUUGAAAGGAGCUUGCGUAAUGAAGGCUCCUGGUGCGAAAGCAUGUUUUAGUGAAC